GUUGUUUUCUUACUUCACAUCCUUUAAAUGCUUCAACUGUAACGGAAACCACCCAGCCAGCUAUACAGGAUGUGAAGUAAGAAAACAACUACAACGUAAACUGUUCCCGCCCCUACGAAGCAGGACAAGCACUAACACACAAGCCCAUCAUGACAGCACAAAACCUGAAAUAUUACCAAAUACAGAGCAAGCAAUAAACACCAAACCUAUCAGCACCAACACCAUUGGUGAUCUAAGCUAUGCUCAAGUAACCAGCCAACCAACACACACACAUAACCAAUACCACAGCAAUAGUAACAACGACACUGCAGAAAUCAAAGAACUGCUCAAACAAUCCAUAAAGAACACCGAAAUGCUAACCAGAAUGAUAAGCG
rnacentral:misc_RNA from 1 species